rnacentral:rRNA from 1 species
CGCUGGCGGCAUGCCUAACACAUGCAAGUCGUACGGUAACAGGCUCAGCUUGCUGAGUGCUGACGAGUGGCGGACGGGUGAGUAACGCGUAGGAAUCUACCUUAUGAUGGGGGAUAACCCGGGGAAACCCGGACUAAUACCGCAUAUACCUUGAGAGGAAAAGCCGGGGACCGCAAGGCCUGGCGUCAUAAGAUGAGCCUGCGUCAGAUUAGCUAGUUGGUGGGGUAAAGGCCUACCAAGGCGACGAUCUGUAGCUGUUCUGAGAGGAAGAUCAGCCACACUGGGACUGAGACACGGCCCAGACUCCUACGGGAGGCAGCAGUGGGGAAUAUUGGACAAUGGGGGCAACCCUGAUCCAGCAAUGCCGCGUGUGUGAAGAAGGCCUGCGGGUUGUAAAGCACUUUCAGUGGGGAGGAAGAUAUCAUGGUUAAGAGCUGUGGUGUUUGACGUUACCCACAGAAGAAGCACCGGCUAACUCUGUG